AGCUCCAAUAGCGUAUAUUAAAGUUGUUGCAGUUAAAAAGCUCGUAGUUGGAUUUCGGGAUGGGCCAGUCGGUCUGCCGCGAGGUAAGUCACUGUCUGGUCUGUUCUUCCUCGCAAAGAAUGCGUGUGCUCUUCACUGAGUGGGCGUAGGAUUUGCGACGUUUACUUUGAAAAAAUUAGAGUGUUCAAAGCAGGCUAUCCGCUUGAAUACAUGAGCAUGGAAUAAUGGAAUAGGACUUUGGUCUUAUUUUGUUGGUUUCUAAGACCGAGGUAAUGAUUAAGAGGGACAGUUGGGGGCAUUCGUAUUUCGUUGUCAGAGGUGAAAUUCUUGGAUUUACGAAAGACGAACAACUGCGAAAGCAUUUGCCAAGAAUGUUUUCA
rnacentral:rRNA from 1 species